rnacentral:ncRNA from 2 species
GCAGCAGUGAAGGAAGCCAACCGGCAAACUCCGGUACUGACGAACAGGAACGGCAUACGAGGCUACUGAAACAUGGACAAGCAAGCACAUCAUUGUAACGUCCUAUAAACUUCGGUUAUGUUCGGUAGUAGAUGUCGCAGGAAUUGGAGGAAGGAAGA